GGGCCCUUAGCUCAGCUGGGAGAGCGCUUGACUGGCAGUCAAGAGGUCGUCGGUUCGAUCCCGAUAGGGUCCACCA
rnacentral:tRNA from 3 species